GAGGAAUCGUUGACCUCCGACGAGAUUUGGGUGGCUAUUAAAAAGCACCCCUCCGGCAAGUCUCCUGGUCUGGAAGGGUUCACGGCUGAGUUCCUCUGCUCAUGUUGGGACAUCAUCCAACAUGACCUCUGCGACGUCUUCGACAAGCUCUACUCUCUCAAUGGUCAGGCAUUCCAGCGGCUCUACGAGGCUCUUAUCACUCUAUUGCCAAAGAAACAAGAUGCGGUUAUGCGCUUCGACUAUUGCCCGAUUAGUCUUAUUCACCUUGUGGCCAAGCUCUUCGCCAAGGUCUUAUCGCUCUGCCUUGCUCCAUGGCUUCGGGAGCUUUUUUCCGCCAACCAGAGCGCCUUCGUCGCCGGGAGGAGAGUACAUGACAACUGCCUCCUCAUCUAG
rnacentral:rRNA from 1 species